CGGAAACACGUGACCUCCACAGUAACCGGAAACACGUGACCUCCACAAUCGGCAGAAAUACGUUCCUGCGUGCAUCAUCGGCUGUGGAAACCUUGCAAGUGGAUCGUAAAGAUGCACAUAUCAAUUUGGAAUUCUGCCUCCAAGCCAGAAUUGCAGGAAUGCACCACGUGUUGCAGAAGACUCUUUCACUGCCCUCUGUGCCCCACUCUCAGCCCUACUGUCAGGGCAAAGAUUGAGGAGCAAAUAAAUGGACACCUUAAAAAUGCUUUGCCUUUCAAAGACAAAAUGAUAUGCCGGUGCACUUUCACUGCCCUGUCUGUAACAUGACAAUCAUACAGCGUGGGGAUAUGGCAAGGCAAAUAUUGUCAUGUCAGCGUUUAGGACUGCUCCCCACUGAACUCUCCGUGGAGCCCCGCCUCUCUCCCGCUGCACUCUCUGUGGAGCCACAUCUCCCUCUCCAUGUCUCCAGCAUCUAAACCGUUUUCUGAAUCUUUGGUAGAACAUUCAUGUGUUCUACCCUCUGUGCUAAAUGAAACUGUGGCUUGUGGAAAGUCCAUGGAAAUGAAACGCCCUCACUGUGGUCUUAGUCUUCUUACAAAAAAAACUUCAAGGCUCACAUGAUGAGGAGGCAUUCAAACAGAUCAAUAGAUGUUUGCCUGGCCUGUCAUCUGCAGUGUUUUUGUG